rnacentral:rRNA from 1 species
AAUGGGGGAAACCCUGAUGCAGCGACGCCGCGUGAGUGAAGAAGUAUUUCGGUAUGUAAAGCUCUAUCAGCAGGGAAGAAAAUGACGGUACCUGACUAAGAAGCCCCGGCUAACUACGUGCCAGCAGCCGCGGUAAUACGUAGGGGGCAAGCGUUAUCCGGAUUUACUGGGUGUAAAGGGAGCGUAGGUGGUUCGGUAAGUCAGAUGUGAAAGCCCGGGGCUCAACCCCGGGAUUGCAUUUGAAACUAUCGGACUAGAGUGCAGGAGAGGUAAGUGGAAUUCCUAGUGUAGCGGUGAAAUGCGUAGAUAUUAGGAGGAACACCAGUGGCGAAGGCGGCUUACUGGACUGUAACUGACACUGAGGCUCGAAAGCGUGGGGAGCAAA